GGUCAUUCUAGCUUUGGUUUCCGAAUCCGAAUCACUUAGAAAAAUUUGGUUCAACUGACUCGAGCUCAAGUGGGUACUCUGAAACUACAGAGGGAUUGCCAUUACAUCAUCUCAAAGCUGAGGACUCAACCUUGAGUUAGCACCAGACUGACAAGUCACUUCCCGAGAAGCAUCUUCCUGAAUUUGAAUAGAUGAAUUUAUCGGAAUUCGGACCUGAUGGGCUAGUCAUUCCGAGGCAAAUCUUCCUAAGAUUUUGAAUCUAGGAGUUUUUUAGAAUGAGUAUCCUCAAAGAUUUUUGUCAAUGCCGAAGCACUAAAUA